ACUCCUACGGGAGGCAGCAGUAGGAAUAUUGGUCAAUGGGUGAGAGCCUGAACCAGCCAUGCCGCGUGCAGGAAGACGGCCUUCUGGGUUGUAAACUGCUUUUACCAGGGGAUAAAAACGACUCUGCGGAGUUAAUUGAAGGUACCUGGAGAAUAAGCACCGGCUAACUACGUGCCAGCAGCCGCGGUAAUACGUAGGGUGCAAGCGUUGUCCGGAUUUAUUGGGUUUAAAGGUGCGUAGGCGGGCUAUUAAGUCAGUGGUGAAAUCCAGCAGCUUAACUGUUGAUGUGCCAUUGAUACUGGUAGUCUUGAGUACAGAUGAGGUAGGCGGAAUUGACAGUGUAGCGGUGAAAUGCAUAGAUAUUGUCAAGAACUCCGAUAGCGAAGGCAGCUUACUGGGCUGUAACUGACGCUGAUGCACGAAAGUGUGGGGAUCAAACAGGAUUAGAUACCCU
rnacentral:rRNA from 1 species